rnacentral:rRNA from 1 species
CAAGUGAAGGGUUUGAUCCUGGCUCAGAAUGAACGUUGGCGGCGUGGAUUAGGCAUGCGAGUCGCGCGAGAAUGUAGCAAUACAGGAAAGCGGCGAAAGGGAGAGGACAACAUGGGAAUCUGCCCGGGGGACGAGGAUAGCGUCGGGAAACUGACGGUAAUACUCGAUAAUGUUUGCGGACCAAAGGUGAGAUUCCGCCCCUGGAUGAGCCCAUGCCCCAUUAGCUUGUUGGCGGUGUAAUAGACCACCAAGGCGAUGAUGGGUAGCUGGUGUGAGAGCACGACCAGCCUCACUGGCACUGAGACACUGGCCAGACACCUACGGGUGGCUGCAGUCGAGAAUCUUCGGCAAUGGACGAAAGUCUGACCGAGCGACGCCGCGUGCGGGACGAAGGCCUUCGGGUUGUAAACCGCUGUCGUAGAGGAUCAAAGGUAAUUGGGUUCUCCCUUUUAUUUGAGUGAUUCUAGGAGGAAGGAGAGGCUAAGCUCGUGCCAGCAGCCGCGGUAAGACGAGCUCUCCAAACGUUAUUCGGUAUCACUGGGCUUAAAGAGUUCGUAGGCGGCUUUGUAGGUGGGGUGUGAAAGCCCUCGGCUUAACCGAGGAACUGCGCCCCAAACCACAAGGCUUGAGAUCGGAAGAGC